GACGAACGCUGGCGGCGUGCUUAACACAUGCAAGUCGAACGGUAAGGCCCUUCGGGGUACACGAGUGGCGAACGGGUGAGUAACACGUGGGUGAUCUGCCCUGCACUUCGGGAUAAGCCUGGGAAACUGGGUCUAAUACCGGAUAGGACCACUGCCUGCAUGGGUGGUGGUGGAAAGCUUUUGCGGUGUGGGAUGGGCCCGCGGCCUAGCAGCUUGUUGGUGGGGUGAUGGCCUACCAAGGCGACGACGGGUAGGCGGCCUGAGAGGGUGACCGGCCACAGUGGGGCUGAGAUACGGCCCAGAGUCCUGCGGGAGGCAGGAGUGGGGAAUAUUGCACAAUGGGCGCAAGCCUGAUGCAGCGACGCCGCGUGAGGGAUGACGGCCUUCGGGUUUUAAGCCUCUUUGAGCACCGACGAAGCGCAAGUGACGGUAGGUGCAGAAGAAGGACCGGCCAACUACGUGCCAGCCGCCGCCGUAACAC
rnacentral:rRNA from 1 species